GUGACUCCCAUGAGACAGGAACAAAGCUGAAGGCAGCCCUUGUCAGGAACCUGUUUGAUGGGAGGCUAGCCAGAGAGCUUCAGAAAGCUGGGUAUGAAUCCAGUCCCCAAGAAGCUUUUCAUCCAGGUGAAUGGACAAGCCUCAUCCAAGAAACCACAAAUUAGGAACAGUACUGCUGGAGAUGCUCUCUGUAGAAGCAAAG